rnacentral:lncRNA from 13 species
UGGCAAAUGUUGCUUUACUACUACCCCAGCUGCUUGGCCACAGGUAGGCGUGGGUAGAUAUCUGAUCCAAAAUAGACCAGUGAACUUCUCUUGUAGGAAUUUGGAACUGAGGUCCUGAGGGUCCACCUGGCUUCCAUGUGCAACUGGGACAAAGGUGAGGUAGACUCAGGUGCUGCGGGGCUGGCCUCACACAUGAGAUGGAGUCUCGUUCUCUCACCCAGACUGGAGUGCAGUGGUACAAUCUCUCCUUACUGCAACCUCCACUUUCCAGGUUCAAGUGAUUCUUCAGCCUCAGCCUCAUAAGUAGCUGGGAUUCCAGGCUGGCCUUCUCCUCCUCUCCUGUCUCCACUGCAGGCAGGACCUGACCACCAACACCACUCCUGAGAUUCACCUACCACAGUUGUAGCCACAUGCAAACGAAGGGGCUGGAUCUGGGUGUCUCCUCCACUGCAUGUGGACUGUGCAGAGAGAAGGGGUCCCCUGGAAUGCGACACUUAGAGCAGAG